AGAGUUUGAUCAUGGCUCAGGAUAAACGCUGGCGGCGCACAUAAGACAUGCAAGUCGAACGGACUUAACCAUUAGUUUACUAUUGGAGCGGUUAGUGGCGGACUGGUGAGUAACACGUAAGCAACCUGCCUGUUAGAGGGGAACAACAGUAGAAAUGACUGCUAAUACCGCAUAUGCCUUAGUUAUCGCAUGAUAAUAGAGGGAAAGGAGCAAUCCGCUAACAGAUGGGCUUGCGUCUGAUUAGAUAGUUGGUGUGGUAACGGCAUACCAAGUCGACGAUCAGUAGCCGG
rnacentral:rRNA from 1 species